AAGACUUCUCAUCUGUAAGAGGAUUUAGAUUCUUCUAUUUACAAGCAUUCUUCUGAGAAUCUUUCAUUCUACACACAGGUUUCUUUGGGGGUUCUGUUUUAUCUUUUUUCAUACACUGCCUACCAGAGAGAACAAGACUGGCAAAAGGACUCUGUCCUCAUAAAGCUCAGAGACGAUGAACAGAUAAACAAGGAAAUUACUUUUUACUUCAGUGCAAUUUACUGGAGAGACGAACUGUGCAAGUAGAGAUGCCUGAUGAGCGUCACACAACGUUUUCGGUGGAUAGUCACGACACUUGAGCCCACCACGAAAGCAACGGGAGGCAGCUGCAAUAUUCCAGCAGGACAGUGUGUACUACAAGUCCAAAAGCCCUGUGGAUUGUUAGUGAAGCUCAGGCAGAAUAAAGCAAAUAGAAGAACAAGGCAACUGAAGUCUAACGAUAUGGUGGAUAAGAAUCCGAUUUUAAAUCUUGACAUUGCUUGAGAAUGGGAAUAAUGUGUUACUUAUUUUUCGCACUAUGACUAACAAUUAUUAAACAUCUAAUAUGUACCAAACACAGUUCUGGACAUAUUCCCAUAUCUUAACUCGUUUAAUCUUGACAACAAUCCUUCUGAGGUAGGUUUUAUUACCCUUCAUUUCAGAUGAGGAAAUAAACUCACAGACAUUACUAAUUUGGGUGACUCAGACAGACACAGUUUCCAUUUUGUUCUUCCUUUCAGUUAACAUAUAUUUCUUAUGGACUUUCUGCUUGUUCCAGGCACUAUGCUUGGCACAGCGUCUACCAUUUCUCUUUCUACUAAACCAUAUAGCCGGUCUCUGACACCUAGCACAGUACCUAGGUCAUAUUAGGUUCUCAAUGAAGAUUCACUGAAUUAUUUGGUUAAUUUACUUGUCUCUAUAAAAUAAACAUUUACAUAGAAAUUUGGGUCCAGGUUUAUAUUAUCUUAAAACAUCUUGUAAUUCAACACUGUUAAAACAUGUAUUUUAAAAAUAGUUUUUCAAAAGAGAAAAUAUUUCAUUGAUUAUAGACAUCUAGGAAACCCAAGUCAGGUGGCAAAUACCUGCACUGAAAACUAACAGAAUCAUGGAAAGGAAGCCUGACACAGCAUGAUGCACAUUCUCUCAACUUUGUAUGUAAAUAAAUCCUACAUUCUUUAAUUGUCUCAAGAAUGCGUGAUUUGAAUACCUAAUUCUAUUACAAAUAUCACAUGGGAAUGGUCUUCCAAUGUUGGUACAUGUACUCAAGGCACAAUGCAUAGUGUUGACCAAAAAGCAAAAGCUUACCAUGAAAAAAGGUAAGUAAUGGAUGGAUUACUUUGUAGUCAGACAUGGAUAAGGUUGAAUGUUAGCUCUGCCAUUUACUAGCUACCUUAUUUUGAGGGAAGUUAUUUCACUUUUCUGAGGCUGUUUCUGUACUAUAAAAUACAGAUAAUUCUAACAGCAUCUACUGUGCACUCAGAGAUUAUGGUGAGGACUAAAUGACAGGAUGUAUGUGACCUGGGCACAUACCCAGGUCAGAGUUAGGGCUCAUUAACAGUUAGCUGUAUAUUGAAGUAGAAAAGUUAGGGAGGCUGGGAAAUAAAUUUUCUGGUAGGCAUGAGGUGGAGCAGACUACAUAAUGAUCACCUUCUUUUUACUGUCUAACCUUUAAAGCUCCUUAGUAUGCAGGAAAAUGCCUGCUCCUGAAUGAGCUGAUCUUCAUACCAGCGUAUUUAUCUUUCCUAAUUCAAAAACAGCCUCCUUAAAACACAAACAUACUUUUUCAUACUGUCAUUCAAAAUAGCUGCUUAUGAUAUAACUUAAUAGUAAAAAUGGGAAAAUUACUGAUUUCUUUUUGUACAAUUCUAUGUACCUUCAACAAAUUAUGCCUUUUCAUUUUCAAAGGAUAAUACCAAUUCCUUCCAAAGGCAUGAUCAAACCUAAAUAGUGGUUAAUUUGAACAUUUCUUUUAAGUCCCAGAAGAAGAAAUUACGUUAACCACUUCUUCAUAUCUUAAGUGAAAAAUGUGUAAGACAGUAACUGUCUUAAAUAAUUACAUUUCUGCUUAUUAGGUGUAAUUAAUAUUUUAUCCCCAAAUUAAGCCAAAAUAAUUCCUUAGAUAUAAGAUGCCUACACAACCAACAAAUCAAGCUUUUAAUUUCUGAGUUCUAGCCAAAAGGCCAUAUUGCCUAAGAAGAGCAGAAAUAAAUGUUUUUUUUUUUGUUGCCUUUUUAAAAACUUUGUAACCUACAUAUAAAUAGAAGGAAACUCAGAUUUCGAAUACAGACUUCUGAGGGAAAUCAAAUGAAUACAAAAUUUAUUGUAUACUAAGCAGUAACUCUUGUUUAUUCUAUCACUUGGGACUGUAUAUUCUUUUUAAAUUAGUAUAUCAAUUGUUCUGAAUAUAAUAAUUCAAUACAGUCAUCUUCCUAAGGGUCCAUUUUAAGCAUCAUUCAAAGCAAGUAGUAGUAAAAAGGAACAAAGCAUAAGCCACAGCAGUGCUAAAAAUAUGGUAAUUGAUUAAAACAAAAACAAUUAGCUGGGUGCAAUGGCUCAUACCUAUAAUCCCAGCAUUUUGGGAAGCCAAGGUAGGAGGAUGGCUUCAGCCCAGAAGUUCACGACCAGCCUGGGCAAGAUGGUGAGACCCUGCAUCUUAGAACUGAUGAAAGACGGUAACUUUUCUAUAUUUUUUCAAUAUGAUUUUAUUCUCACACAUCAACAACAUUCUAAGAUGUCUUACAAAGAAUAGCUUUUGUAAUCCCAUGGCCUCUAAUGCAAUACAGUGCUUUAUACACAUUCUAUGGGAAUUGCAGGUACCAUCUCCAUAGCCUAAGAGUAUGCAAUCUGAACCAAAUCCUUUUCUGUCCACAUCUUGAAGUGCUUCUUAAAUUCCUAAGAUCUAACUAGUUACUUCUCUAUUACCUGUUAGUGGCUCUGCUAUAGAAGAAAAGGUGAAAGUAAAUAUCUACAAAGAAAGACAGUGGGGAUAGUGACAACAAUAAUAACCACUAUUUACUAAGUGCUAUGUUCUAAACACUUUACAUGGACUUUGUUACUUAAUGUUUGCAAUUCUAUGAUGCAUACAGAAUCAGUCUUAUUACGAGAUGAACAAAUUUAGUUUCCAACUGAUAAUUGUGAAGAAAUAAAAAACUACAGGAGAGUGAUUUUUAAAUCAAAGGUGCAUAUGAAGAGAAGCAUGCUAAUGAAAUAAUCCUGCUAGCUUUUCUUUUUUGAUUUUGUAAAAUAUUAAUUGCUCUUGCACUGUUCUUUAUUGACAAUGG
rnacentral:lncRNA from 1 species